rnacentral:rRNA from 1 species
GGAGGAUCAUUAUCGUAGGGCUUCGGCCCUGUCGAGAUAGAACCCUUGCCUUUUUGAGUACCUUUCGUUUCCUCGGCAGGCUCGCCUGCCAAUGGGGACCACAAAAAACACUUUGCAGUACCUGUAACAGUCUGAACAAACAAAACAAAAAUUAAAACUUUCAACAACGGAUCUCUUGGUUCUGGCAUCGAUGAAGAACGCAGCGAAAUGCGAUAAGUAGUGUGAAUUGCAGAAUUCAGUGAAUCAUCGAACCUUUGAACGCACAUUGCGCCCUUUGGUAUUCCUUAGGGCAUGCCUGUUCGAGCGUCAUUUAAACCUUCAAGCUAAGCUUGGUGUUGGGUGACUGUCCGCUUCACUGCGGACUCGCCUCAAAAUUAUUGGCGGCCGGUACAUUGGCUUCGAGCGCAGCAGAAACGCGAACUCGGGCCCGUCGUAUUGGCUCCCAGAAGCUAUCUUCACAAUUUUGACCUCGGAUCAGGUAGGGAUACCCGCUGAACUUAAGCAUAUCAAUAAGCGGAGGA